CUAAGGAUGGUGCUGUCUCCAUGUUGCCUGCAGCUUAUGGCCAGCUCCUCAUACCUGACCACUCGUGAAGAACAUGCCUGGCAAAAAAAGCUAAGGGAGCACUUUUGAACAAGGAUUACCAGAAUGUGAUUUGGAUUUCGUGGCCAACGUUUGCAGAGCAGGAACUGUUUAACAAGAGCCAGGAGCUGGAAGCUGAAGCUAGAAUAGUUCAUCCUGGAAACAAGAGUCCAUUUCUGGCACUAAAGGAUGCUGAGCCCUUAUUCACAGUUAGUGAGAAGCGCCGGGUGAGAAAAGAUGAUGGAAAGAAACCGCCCAAUCUCCAUUAAUAGAAGUGGAAUCCCCAAGAGCCUGUCAGAAAUGCUGCCAUACUCCAGGACAAAUAUUAAUAUUAUGCCCAGCAUUAUAACUACAUCAUUCUGCUGUUAACAUAGAUCACGCCUGCUACACUGAGUUUAUUCAUAGAACAAAGUCCCUUGCUUCUGCAGGACAGCACAGGAGCCUCAGGAGUACCCUGCAUUGGCGUGACUCCUCCUAAAUCAGGAAUAAAAAUUGCAUGGACCUUGCCAGGGCCAUGCACUCAGAUGGCCCCUUCCCCUUCCAUCUGGGUGUGCUGGAGACGGAGGGUUUGGGGUUAAAUUCUCCUCUGUCCCAGCUGUGAACAUCUCUGGAGGUCCACGGUCCUAUUCCCAGUUCACCUCAGGAAGAGGAUUAGGCCUUUUGGGGACAACCUCUGCAUCUUCAGAGUUUCCCCAAAUGAAGUCAGGUGUGAACUAAAAAACCUUGUUUCAUCUGGGAAUGAAAUGCACGUUUUUUCUGUUUUCUCUGCAGAAGAAAAUAUAUCCAUCUUUCCCUGUUGUAGAGCACCCCAUGAGUUUGUAGAGGACUGGGGGAGAAGGAUGGGUGACCCCCCUAAACUUGUGUAUAUAUAGGUAGUUCUAUCAUGUCAGCUGUGAACACAUGACUGAGAUUUCUUUGUGUAAAUUCCAUAUUUAUGUGAGUUAUUUGUUACCUGUAUCUAGCAUGGAGCUUUGUUCAAUAUUUCUAAACGGCAAACAUUUUUCUUGAUGGAAAAUGUACAAUUGACAAACUGCUGUUGGGAAAAGCAGUGUUAUUUUCACCAGGAAAACUCUUAAUAGGA